UAACAAUCUCUUCCUGUGUUUUUCUUGAAAUUCUGAAACCUGAGGAGACAAUAAGCUCAAUGUAGGUGCUGCUCAGGCUCACCCUACACUUCCCGAGGACACACUCAGCUGCAAAGGACUGCAAGUGUGGGGACCAACACACUCCGACUUGCCCUUCCCCAGCAGACCCCCUUCUUUACCCACAGGCAGGCUCCACUUGGUAGGGAGGCUCCUGCCUGCUGCCCAUGGCCGGCUGCUAUCCAGAAUGGAUGCUUGGCACAGAUGUCCCUCCAUAGGGAAGGCCAGCAGGAGGCCAAAUGCAAACACAGAUGAGCCUGUUCCCUGCCAAGGGCUGUGUCUCCCUGGUGAUGUUCCUGUUGCUCUCAUGUGGAAAGGCACAAGACCCCACUGACUGGACCUCAGCAUGUCGUCACUCUGACAAGGGGACUAGCUGGAGGGAUGGCCUCCUGGCCAACCAGCAUAGCCAGAGGAGAACCUGAACUUGGUACGUGGACUGGGGUGGGUGGGUAGAAGAGCAGGAGCAGAAGCCCAGGGAGCCUGUGGCUGUCUGGACUGGAGGCAGCUCCAACUGGAGCCAACACUGCUGUUUCACAGGCUUCCGAGCACCCAUGUGGGAGAUGAACAGUGCUCUGUGACACUGAGGAGUGAAGCUGUGACCUGCAAGCAAGGCUUCAGACCACGGGUCACACCCGACACAUGCAUCCACUACCAUGUGCCCAAGUUCUACCACCAUCUGGCGCACCUCCCCAGGGAACAUGGCUGCCUGGGGGCUGAAGUGGGGUCAAGUCGGCUUCCUGUAAAUCUCUCAUGUCACCAACCUCGACCAUCUGCUGGUGACAACAGAUACACUGGAGUGCUCUGCAUCUCCCAUGAUCCUUAAUUGGUAUAAACAGGAUCCAACUCUGCUGUGAACAGAUACUGCCCUGACACUGUGCCUGCGUCCUAGGGACAAGCUGUGCUGGGAGCCACCUCCAGGUCAGUGGGGUCAGCAUCCUCCUCAAAGCCUCUGAGCUUAGGACUCAGGAUCUAAGAGAGCCCAUGGCUCUAGAAGACCAACUGCAGGAGACGACCAGGUGCUGCCCACCAAGGCUGGUGAGGAAUCCUCAUGACGCCGCAGGCCAUGACCCUGACGGCAACCCGUGACUGCGCUGGGAGGUCUCUAGUUCUCUGGCGGAGGUGCCUACCUGUAUCAAACACUCCUCACAGCCCAGCUCCUGCAGCUUGUCUCAUGAAUCCACUCCAACCCUGCAGGGUGGGCCCUGUUCCUUUGGCUGCCCAGGCUCACGGGGCGGGGGGCUCCAUGGCAGACACACCUGCCUGACUGUGGAGGGCCUACUGGUGCCAUGUCCACACUGGCAAGACUUGACCACAGGAGAUUUGUUUUUCCUGUCUUCUCUGCCUCAGACUUGUUCAGGGAAGGCCAGAUAGAGCCCUCCGGGUUCUAGUCCUGACUGGGGCCAGUGGAGCUGGGAAUUCCUGGCAGCAGACUGAUGAGCACACACAGCUGCCUGUCUCCCAUCCAUCCACAACAGGUCCUGCGCCUGCACAGGACGGAGCUUCAUGUGAUGACCUAAACCACACAGUGCUGUUAGCUUUGGGGAACCCUUAGGGA
rnacentral:lncRNA from 1 species